AUUGAACGCUAGCGGGAUGCUUUACACAUGCAAGUCGAACGGCAGCGCGGACUUCGGUCUGGCGGCGAGUGGCGAACGGGUGAGUAAUGUAUCGGAACGUGCCCAGUAGCGGGGGAUAACUACGCGAAAGCGUAGCUAAUACCGCAUACGCCCUACGGGGGAAAGCAGGGGAUCGUAAGACCUUGCACUAUUGGAGCGGCCGAUAUCGGAUUAGCUAGUUGGUGAGGUAACGGCUCACCAAGGCGACGAUCCGUAGCUGGUUUGAGAGGACGACCAGCCACCCUUGCACUGAGACCCGGCCCAGACUCCUGCGGGAGGCAGCAGUGGGGAAUUUUGGACAAUGGGAGCAACCCGGAUCCAGCCAUCCCGCGUGUGCAAUGAAGGCCUUCGGGUUGUAAAGCACUUUUGGCAGGAAAGACCCGUCGCGGGCUACUACCCCGUGGAAUUAACGGUACCUGCAGAAUAAGCACCGGCUAACUACGUG
rnacentral:rRNA from 1 species